AUGAAAGCUGCUAAUUGCUAUAUCAAAUUAGGUGACUACAAAAGAGCAGGUAUGGUCUAUAUGCAAAAAUGUGGUACUUCCAGUUCUGGACUUGAGGAUGCUGAUGAUUAUUUUGCUAUCGCUGAAUGCUGGUCGGAGGCAGUGGAGUGUUCUUCAAAGCUAAAUGUUACACCAAGUGUUUUCCAUGUGCUCGAAAGGAAAACAAUUAUGCAAUCUGGAGGAGGAACAUUUGCUUCAGAAUUCAAAAUCCUUGAGGUUUCUGCAAUUAGAACAAAGUAUCUGGAUAAUUGUGCUCAAGAUUAUUUUGAGCGUGUCGUCAUAAAGCAUAGGAUGGCUUUUAUUAAAGCUUUCAGCUCUAUGGAUCAUGUACGGACAUUCCUAAAUUCUACGAAUCUUGUUGAUGACUGUCGAGUUUAG
rnacentral:rRNA from 1 species